UCAAUAUAAAGACGUUAGGAAAAGGUCAACCUAAGAACACUAUUCAAGCAGUUGACGACCCGUUUAAACACAAAGAAACCUCAAAAUUAAAUUCGAACUCUCAGACAUCUCUAAAAACUUCUAUCAGUGAUUUUAUGACCGCAAGAAUCCCACCAUUUCGAGUUGAAAGACUUGCUGAGCAAGAAUCAUCCCAAAUGAAAAAUACUUUAGUGAAGCUUGAUGAUGGUUUUGUUAUACCAAGUGUGCCCUCUAAGCAUCGAAUCGUCAAAAUUUCGACAAAACCUGCCAAAACACAUCCAAAAACCACGCCUAAUUCCCAAAUUACUUCGAAUUCGAUCAAUAAUAAACCAGUUCCGACAAUUCUCAACAAUUCUCAGUUUUUACAGGCUCAGUCUAAAAAUGACACUUUUAAUAUUUCAUUUAAUCAACGGAUCGAAUAUUCGGCGAAU